AUUGAACGCUGGCGGCAGGCCUAACACAUGCAAGUCGAACGAGUGGCGGACGUGUGAGUAAUGUCUGUGAACCUGCCUGAUGGAGGGGGAUAACUACUGGAAACGGUAGCUAAUACCGCAUACCAUCGGAUGUGCCCAGAUGUGAUUUGCUAUUAGGUGGGGUAAAGGCUCACCUAGGCGACGAUCCCUAGCUGGUCUGAGAGGAUGACCAGCAACCCGGGAACUGAGAAACGGUCCAGACGCCUAGGGGAGGCAGAAGUGGGGAAUAUUGGACAAUGGGCGCAAGCCGGAUGAAGAAAGGCGGCGUGUAUGAAGAAGGCCUUCGGGUUGUAAAGUCCUUUCAGCGGGGAGGCGUUACCCGAAGAAGAAGCACCGGCUAACUCCGUGCCAGCCGCCGCGGUAAUAC
rnacentral:rRNA from 1 species